rnacentral:tRNA from 1 species
ACUCCUAUAGCUCAGUGGAUAGAGCAUGAGGUUUCUAACCUUGGGGUCACACGUUCGAAUCGUGUUAGGAGUG